UCAAGGAAUAGUUUAAAAAGAAUAUCAACUUUGGGUGUUGAUG
rnacentral:tRNA from 1 species